rnacentral:lncRNA from 1 species
GGGAGAGAGGAGAGAGAAAGGGGAGAGAGGAGAGAGAAUGAGGGUAGGAGGAGUAAAAGUGCCCUGUAAGCAACCAUAAGCAACCCAAAAGUUGCUUAUUUGCUUAUGCAUAAGCAACUUAUAAGCAAGUCUAUAAGCAAGAGUGUUUGGGUUAUAAGCAACUUAUUUGCUUAUUUUUAAGUUGCUUAUGAAUAAGCAACUAUAACCAAACGGGCCCUUACUUUUAUUUUGCCGUUGAAAAUCGGAUUGAUGCUUCUAGAAGGACAUCUAGCGCUAGCUCCAGGUAUGUG